rnacentral:rRNA from 1 species
CCUUUGUACACACCGCCCGUCGCUACUACCGAUUGAAUGGCUCAGUGAGGCCUUCGGACUGGCCCAGUGGAGGUCGGCAACGACCACCCAGGGCCGGAAAGUUGGUCAAACUCGGUCAUUUAGAGGAAGUAAAAGUCGUAACAAGGUCUCCGUAGGUGAACCUGCGGAGGGAUCAUUAAAAUAGGCCGAUAAGAAGGCACUCUCCCCUCGGGGAGAGGGCGGGCCGUAUCCCACACCCUUUGUGAACCACAACUCUGUUGCUUCGGGGGCGACCCUGCCGUCAGGCGGCGGUGCCCCCGGUGGCCUUCAACUAAACUCUGCAUCUUUUGCGUCGGAGUCUUUUAAAGAAUUAAACAAAACUUUCAACAACGGAUCUCUUGGUUCUGGCAUCGAUGAAGAACGCAGCGAAAUGCGAUAAGUAAUGUGAAUUGCAGAAUUCAGUGAAUCAUCGAAUCUUUGAACGCACAUUGCGCCCCGUGGUAUUCCGCGGGGCAUGCCUGUUCGAGCGUCAUUUCACCACUCAAGCCUAGCUUGGUAUUGGGCGCCGCGGCGAUCUCCAUCGCUGCGCGCCUUAAAGUCUCCGGCUGAGCAGUCUGUCUCCGAGCGUUGUGACACAUGUCGCUAGGGAGUGCAGGUCUGCCGCGGCCGUUAAAUCUUUAUCAAAGGUUGACCUCGGAUCAGGUAGGGAUACCCGCUGAACUUAAGCAUAUCAAUAAGCGG